UGCUGGCACAAGGGAAAGAAAACAAGAAAUGUGUGAGCAGAGACGUGGCCAGCCUCAAACCAGCAAUGUCAGCUGGCUCUGCUGGAGACUUCUUGCUCCUUCUCAAACCUGAGGCAGGCAGUGAUCCCGCGCCGCGUCGGCCGAGGAGCAGAUGCAGCUCUGGCAGGCACUCAGAAAAACACCAAGUGAGCAAGUUUUUCUGCUGCCUCUCACAUCCUGGUUCCUGGGAGCGGGGCGUAAUCAGCCUCCGUUUGUUCCACGGCUCCAGCUCCAGGAGCGAUGGGAACACGAGCUGCAGCAAACUGCUGGGAGCAGCCAGGAAAAUGGGGAUGGGAAAGGUGCAAUUCCUACUCUCUGUCCCCUUGAGCUUUCCCUGUUACGCAGUAAAUAACUGAGACACCCCAAAACAAGCCUGGCAGGUGCCAGGUGCCAAAGGUGCCUCUUUGCUGUCAAAAACUGCAGGCACUUGCUGUGAUUCAACAUCCAUGAGCUCAGCCUGCUUCUCUGGCUGAUUUACUUCCCUAUCCUUCCUGACUUCCCAUCAGCUGGAGAAGGGAAAGCAAGCUGCCUGUGCCUUCAUACUGCACCCCAACCAGCCAGGGAAUAUUGGCAAGGUUGUUGGGCACCAACUCUGUUCCCGCAAAACACAGCGUGGGAUGUGAGGGAUCAAAAAGUGGAUUUCUUGCAUGGAAUGGGAAAAAACAUCAACACUUGAACUAGUGAUGGGGAAAUGCUUGGAGAAAGACCUUGCA